GAUUACAUGGAAGAUUAUGAGGUCAAGGUUCCUUUUCAGUCUCUUCAGGCUUUAGGAUGCCACGUUGAUGCAGUUUGCCCCUCAAAGAAGGCCGGUGACACUUGCCCAACUGCUGUUCAUGAUUUUGAAGGAGAUCAAACUUACAGUGAGAAGCCAGGACACAAUUUUGCUUUAACUGCGAACUUUGAUGAUGUCAAUGCUUCAGGCUAUGAUGCUCUUGUCAUCCCUGGAGGCCGAUCACCCGAGUACUUGUCAUUGAAUGAGUCUGUUAUUUCCUUGGUGAAGCAUUUCAUGGAAAGCAAUAAGCCAGUUGCAUCAAUCUGUCACGGUCAACAGAUUUUAGCUGCCGCUGGUGUUCUCAAGGUAUCAUUACUGCAAACUCAUUAGAGACACCGUUUUUGUUAUUUCACGCUAGUUAUUAACCAGCAUUUGAAUUGAGUAGCUAUUAAUAUUCUUGAACUCUUGUUCAAUCUACACCUUUUCUUUUGGAUCGUUGGGUUACAAUGUUGUAACUAGCAAGGCUGAACAAGUAUGAAGUUAUAACUGACAGGGAUACAAAUGCAAUAAUUUUUCCUUAAAUAACUCAUGCAGUGUGUUAGUGUUGUUAUAGAUUUAUACUUCUGGUCUAAACUGUCAUAAUGUCAUUACUUUCUUGAUGCUUUAGGCGCACGCCCUUAGUUUCCAUCCUCUUUUGGGAAGAUAUAAUGUUUAUGACUUUUGAGUCUGGUCUUUGUGUGUGCUGAACAAAUUAAUUAAGCAAUUCUUGUACAAGUUGUUCUUGUGUCCUUCUUUGCCACAAUUACUGUUAUACUUAGUGGACAAGUUGCUCGUGAAUCUGUCAUCCUUUCUUCUGUCCACAUCUUCAUUCUAGAGUUGCUUGUUCUUCUGUGACAUGUUGGUAGAGAGACACACAGCAUGCAUGGAUUGAGAAUCACAACAUAUGUGAUAUAUUGUAAUCAUGAAAUGCUAACAUGACUUCUGUGAAUCAUAUUUACUCUUAGUUUUUCCUCACAUGUAGUCUUCGGCUUUUCAUACACCUUGUUUUCUUGCUUGGAUACUUGUGUUGUAAAUUGUAAUCCUAGUAUCUUAAAUAUACUUGAGGAUUUCCCAUUAAGGAAAGGAAAGAAUGAUAAUACAUAAUUAAGCAAAAAAAAUAUUUCGAUCAUUCCACUUAUUUCAUCUAUUAACUAUUGAUACAUAACCUUAAAGUCUAGUACAUUUUUCUUGUAACAGGGAAGGAAAUGCACUGCUUAUCCGGCUGUGAAGCUUAAUGUGGUUUUGUCAGGAGCAACAUGGUUGGAGCCUGACCCCAUAAGCCGCUGCUUCACUGAUGGAAAUUUGGUUACAGGAGCUGCAUGGCCAGGGCACCCUGAGUUCAUUUCUCAGUUGAUGGCACUACUUGGUAUUCAAGUAUCUUUCUAGUAGCCUUUCGUAAUAUAAUAAUGAAUAAAAAUCACCACAUGUGUCUAUUAUUGAAGGGUUCAAAAUAAGUGGAUGUGUAUUGUUACCUUAUUGUAUUUGAAGGACUUGUUAUGUGAUAGACAUGCAAGUCUCUUUUGGCUCUUUUGAGCAAAGUGUCUCUUGGCUGAGGAAUUAUUCAUCCUAAGGACUUGUAUUUUUUAUAUAUUUUUUUUUUAUAUUAACCCUUUGGAUAAGAAUUGUUCCGACCAGAAAUCAAACUCAGAUUCUUUCGAACGAUUCGUCGGGGGCAUUCCUUGUACAAAACUAACUAGCUUACAACAAAUUGCUAUUGUCGGACGUCAGGACCGAGGUUCGAACCUCGGUCACUCCACUUUGUGUGUGUGAAUUUUCAAUGACUUUGUCAUUUCGUCUAUCAACCAAAAAAAAAAUCAUAACAAACAUAUUAAUAAACUACACAAACAUAUACAUAAUUGAUCCAAAGACAUGAAUGUUUCAGACAUUUUCAUUUCGUUAUAUUUGUAAGCUUUACCAUAUUUGUAGGCAUUUUGUUGUUUUAUAUGUGAGUGUUGUAAGUUUAUUUAUAGAUUUAUCUUUUUUUAGUUCAUAGCGAUUUUGAAUUUGUAUUGUUCUAUGAAUUCUACAAAUUGAAUGAAUGUCGUUUUUAGUCUAAAAAAAUUAGUUGUUUUUUCUUGACCAAAAAAAGUAGUUGUUUUAUAAAUUAAUAGCUAAGUGGAAUUUUGUUUUUGAAAACAACUAUUAUUAAUUUUUUUUAUAAUAAAAAAAGUUUUCUAUCAUUUAAAAAUUAUAAUAACUAAAUAUUAUUUAUCAAAAGUAUCAUCGAAAGAAAAUUUAAAUUUUCAUUAUUACCCAUAAUGGUAAAUAUUGAAUUUCUUUAAGAUAAAAUAUAAAAAUUAAUUUAUUACUUUAAAAAACAAUAAUUUUUUUUCCUUAUGAAAUGAUAUUUUCUACAAUACAAAAAAUCAAUAAUCGUUAAUUUAUCGGUUUAAAUUAAACAUAUAUACUGCCUCCGGCCUCAUACACUCAUUCCACCCUUUAUUUUAAGACAAUUAUAAGCAAAAAUUUAUUGAAUAAUUGAUCUAUAUUCUGAAAAGUGAACUUUUGCUUAUAAUUAAAGAUAGAGUAGUGUAAGCAAAAAUUUACCUUUAAAAUUCAUUACAUAACUAAUGUAUAUAACCUAUAUUAUAGGUUAGAUGCAUAAGUAUUUUAAAAAAAAAAUGAAGUUUACUUUGGUCAAAAGAAAAAAGAAUAGAUAUUUUUUUUCAAUUGCCCCUAAAAAAAAACUUUGGUCAAACUCUUGUAAAUUUGAACAGAUCUCUUCGUUCUUCUUCUACCAUCAUUCCAAGCUCUGAGUAGUCUACACAUUCUAACAUCAGUAGCAUAGCAUUGCUCUAUCAGCCAUGGCUCCCAAAAGGGUUCUUCUCCUUUGUGGUGACUUCAUGGAAGACUAUGAAGUAAGCUUCACUUCAUUUCACCUUCUUGACUCACACUCACACUCUCACUCAAUUCACUUCUCAUUUUUUUUUUCUGUUGCAGGCUAUGGUUCCUUUUCAGGCAUUGCAAGCAUUUGGUAUCACCGUCGAUGCUGUUUGUCCCGGAAAAAAAUCUGGUGAUGUCUGCCGCACCGCCGCCCAAUUUCUCUCCGGCUUCCAGGUCUCCCUUCAUUCUUUUNNNNNNNNNNNNNNNNNNNNNNNNNNNNNNNNNNNNNNNNNNNNNNNNNNNNNNNNNNNNNNNNNNNNNNNNNNNNNNNNNNNNNNNNNNNNNNNNNNNNNNNNNNNNNNNNNNNNNNNNNNNNNNNNNNNNNNNNNNNNNNNNNNNNNNNNNNNNNNNNNNNNNNNNNNNCCGCACCGCCGCCCAAUUUCUCUCCGGCUUCCAGGUCUCCCUUCAUUCUUUUCCUGUGUUUGCUUUGCUUGCAUCAUUAUAUAAUGCUUGGCAUCAUUAAAAUAUGUAAUUAGUGUUGUUUAACUUGAUUCAUCAUUAGAUACAACUCAAUAUAUUCCUUGCAAAUCAUAUAUAUAUUCAAGAUAAUUACACAUGAAUCAAAGGUAGAGAGACAACAAGCUACGCUGCUAACCCUUUCUGGAUGACAAAACCAAUCAUCUGAAAAACUACAUCCAUAGACUUAUGAGACACAACAUUUCUAUGCAUGACUGUUUGAAUUGAUUUGCUAAUUAGUUACAUUGUUUGCCAAUUUUCAUGGAUAAAUGAAGUCAAAAGGAUUUCAAUUUUCAACAUCAAGUCAGACCUAAUUUUAUAAUUUUAGGGGAAAAAUACACUAAAAAUGCUCAUCUAGAAAUGUUCAAUCAAUUCCCAUAACUAUAAUUUAGUUCUAAUUUCCAAACAUAGUCUUGGUGAGAUUUUGUGAUAUGUAUUGUAUGGUAAAAUUUUAAUCUUGAAUAAUGGAUUUUUUUGGUGGUUUCAGACUUAUACUGAGAUAGUUGGUCACAAUUUUACACUCAAUGCAACUUUUGAUGAAAUUGAUGAUAAAAACUAUGAUGGGUUGUGGUUGCCGGGAGGAAGGGCGCCUGAGUAUCUUGCUCACAUUCCUGCUGUUGUGGAGCUAGUGGCUAAGUUUGCCAAUUCUGGUAAAGGAAUUGUUUGCCUUUGUCAUUCACAGAUGCUUCUAGCAGCUGCUGGUGUACUUGAAGGUCGUGCGUGCACAGCUUUUUCUCCUGUCAAACCAGUAUUGGUUGCUGCUGGCGCUCAUUGGGUUGAACCUGACUCCUUGGCAACAACUGUGGUGGAUGGUAAUUUCAUUACUGCACCUACUUAUGAAGGGAACCCUGAAGUUCUUCGCCAUUUUGUCAAGGCAUUAGGAGGCAAAAUAAGUGUUUCUGAUAAGAAAAUCCUCUUUAUUUGUGGGGUAUGCUCAAAUGUUUUUCUUAUUUCCCGUAGUUAAAAAAAAUCACGGACUGAGAUACUGCUAACUUUACUUAUUGUUUUAGAAUUUCCUUAUUAAACUUGCUAUGCUGCUUGGUGAUAUGUGUUUUAAAUUUUAAUCACAGGAUUACAUGGAAGAUUAUGAGGUCAAAGUUCCUUUUCAGUCUCUUCAGGCUUUAGGAUGCCAUGUUGAUGCAGUUUGCCCCUCAAAGAAGGCUGGCGACACUUGCCCAACUGCUAUUCAUGAUUUUGAAGGAGAUCAAACUUACAGUGAGAAGCCAGGGCACAAUUUUACUUUAACUGCAACCUUUGAUGAUGUUGAUGCUUCAGGCUACGAUGCUCUUGUCAUCCCUGGAGGCCGAUCACCUGAGUACUUGGCAUUGAAUGAGUCUGUUAUUUCCUGGGUGAAGCAUUUCAUGGAAAGCAAUAAGCCAGUUGCAUCAAUCUGUCAUGGUCAACAGAUUUUAGCUGCUGCUGGUGUUCUCAAG
rnacentral:lncRNA from 1 species